rnacentral:snRNA from 1 species
GCAUGGUUGGAUAGCUUUUUUCA